rnacentral:rRNA from 1 species
AUUGAACGCUGGCGGCAGGCCUAACACAUGCAAGUCGAGCGAGCGGUGGACGGGUGAGUAAGGUCUGGGAAACUGCCUGAUGGAGGGGGAUAACUACCGGAAACGGUAGCCAAUACCGCACACCAUCAGAUGUGCCCAGAUGGGAUUAGCUAGUAGGUGGGGUAACGGCUCACCUGGGCGACGAGCCCUAGCUGGUCUGAGAGGAUGACCAGCCACACUGGAACUGAGACACGGUCCAGACUCCUACGGGAGGCAGCAGUGGGGAAUAUUGCACAAUGGGCGCAAGCCUGAUGCAGCCAUGCCGCGUGUAUGAAGAAGGCCUUCGGGUUGUAAAGUACUUUCAGCGGGGAGGCGUUACCCGCAGAAGACGCACCGGCUAACUCCGUGCCAGCCGCCGCGGUGCUUC